rnacentral:rRNA from 1 species
GGGCCCGCACAAGCGGUGGAGCAUGUGGUUUAAUUCGAAGCAACGCGAAGAACCUUACCAGUCCUUGACAUGGGUAGUUUGGUUAUUGGAGACAAUUUCCUUCAGUUCGGCUGGCUACCACACAGGUGCUGCACGGCUGUCGUCAGCUCGUGUCGUGAGAUGUUGGGUUAAGUCCCGCAACGAGCGCAACCCUCAUCUUUAGUUGCCAUCGGUUCGGCCGGGCACUCUAAAGAAACUGCCUGCGAUGAGCAGGAGGAAGGCGGGGACGACGUCAAGUCAUCAUGGCCCUUAUGGACUGGGCUACACACGUGCUACAAUGGCGGUGACAACAGGCAGCGAAGGGGUGACCUGGAGCAAAUCCUAAAAAGCCGUCCCAGUUCGGAUUGUACUCUGCAACUCGACCUCAUGAAGUCGGAGUC